CUCCGGUUGAUCCCGCCGGACCCGACUGCUAUCAGAGUGGGACUAAGCCAUGCGAGUCAACAUAGCAAUAUGUGGCAUACGGCUCAGUAACACGUAGUCAACAUGCCCAGGGGACGUGGAUAACCUCGGGAAACUGAGGAUAAACCGCGAUAGGUCAUCACUUCUGGAAUGGGUAAUGACUUAAAUCUAUAUGGCCCCUGGAUUGGACUGCGGCCGAUCAGGCUGUUGGUGAGGUAAUGGCCCACCAAACCUGUAACCGGUACGGGCUCUGAGAGGAGGAGCCCGGAGAUGGGCACUGAGACAAGGGCCCAGGCCCUAUGGGGCGCAGCAGGCGCGAAACCUCUGCAAUAGGCGAAAGCUUGACAGGGUUACUCUGAGUGAUUUCCGUUAAGGAGAUCUUUUGGCACCUCUAAAAAUGGUGCAGAAUAAGGGGUGGGCAAGUCUGGUGUCAGCCGCCGCGGUAAUACCAGCACCCCGAGUGGUCGGGACGUUUAUUGGGCCUAAAGCAUCCGUAGCCGGUUCUACAAGUCUUCCGUUAAAUCCACCUGCUUAACAGAUGGGCUGCGGAAGAUACUAUAGAGCUAGGAGGCGGGAGAGGCAAGCGGUACUCGAUGGGUAGGGGUAAAAUCCGCUGAUCCAUAGAAGACCACCAGUGGCGAAGGCGGCUUGCCAGAACGCGCUCGACGGUGAGGGAUGAAAGCUGGGGGAGCAAACCGGAUUAGAUACCCGGGUAGUCCCAGCUGUAAACGAUGCAGACUCGGUGAUGAGUUGGCUUAUUGCUAACUCAGUGCCGCAGGGAAGCCGUUAAGUUUGCCGCCUGGGGAGUACGGUCGCAAGACUGAAACUUAAAGGAAUUGGCGGGGAGCA
rnacentral:rRNA from 1 species